rnacentral:rRNA from 1 species
CAGCCGCCGCGGUAAUACGUAGGUCCCGAGCGUUGUCCGGAUUUAUUGGGUGUAAAGCGAGCGCAGGCGGUUAGAUAAGUCUGAAGUUAAAGGCUGUGGCUUAACCAUAGUACGCUUUGGAAACUGUUUAACUUGAGUGCAAGAGGGGAGAGUGGAAUUCCAUGUGUAGCGGUGAAAUGCGUAGAUAUAUGGAGGAACACCGGUGGCGAAAGCGGCUCUCUGGCUUGUAACUGACGCUGAGGCUCGAAAGCGUGGGGAGCAAACAGGAUUAGAUACCCCAGUAGUCCCUGUCUCUUAUACA